AGUAAGAUGGCUGAUAAAAGUGAUAAAUUGUAAAUUUAUUUAUGAAAAAUUUCUCU
rnacentral:tRNA from 1 species